rnacentral:rRNA from 1 species
UCUGGUUGAUCCUGCCGGACCCGACUGCUAUCGGAGUGGGAUUAAGCCAUGCGAGUCGUACGUCCCCUAACUAUGUAGGGGACGUGGCGGACGGCUCAGUAGCACGUAGUCAACCUACCCUGGAGACGUGGAUAAUCCCGGGAAACUGGGAAUAAUCCACGAUAGGGCAAGAUUCCUGGAAUGGGUCUUGCCUGAAAGGGUUAAGCUAGCACGUUAGCUUAACCGCUCCAGGAUGGGACUGCGGCCGAUCAGGUUGUUGGUGGGGUAAUGGCCCACCAAGCCUAUAACCGGUGCGGGCUCUGAGAGGAGGAGCCCGGAGAUGGGCACUGAGACAAGGGCCCAGGCCCUACGGGGCGCAGCAGGCGCGAAACCUUCGCAAUGGGCGAAAGCCCGACGAGGCCACUCCGAGUGCCACCCGCUGAGGGUGGCUUUUCCCAGCUGUAAAUAGGCUGGGGAAUAAGGGGAGGGCAAGUCUGGUGUCAGCCGCCGCGGUAAUACCAGCUCCCCGAGUGGUCGGGACGAUUAUUUGGCCUAAAGCAUCCGUAGCCGGCCCGGUUGGUCCUCUGUUAAAUCCAACAGCUUAACUGUUGGGCUGCAGAGGAUACCGCCGGGCUAGGAGGCGGGAGAGGCCGACGGUAUUCCCGGGGUAGGGGUAAAAUCCUCUGAUCCCGGGAGGACCACCAGUGGCGAAGGCGGUCGGCCAGAACGCGCUCGACGGUGAGGGAUGAAAGCUGGGGGAGCGAACCGGAUUAGAUACCCGGGUAGUCCCAGCUGUAAACGAUGCGGGCUAGGUGAUGGAAUGGCUACGGGCCAUUCCAGUGCCGCAGGGAAGCCGUUAAGCCCGCCGCCUGGGGAGUACGGCCGCAAGGCUGAAACUUAAAGGAAUUGGCGGGGGAGCACCACAAGGGGUGAAGCCUGCGGUUCAAUUGGAGUCAACGCCGGGAACCUUACCGGGGGAGACAGCAGGGUGAAGGUCAGGCUGAAGACCUUACCAGACGAGCUGAGAGGAGGUGCAUGGCCGUCGCCAGCUCGUGCCGUGAGGUGUCCUGUUAAGUCAGGCAACGAGCGAGACCCCUGCCCCUAGUUGCCUACUGCUACCUUCGGGUAGCAUGGCUAACUAGGGGGACUGCCGCCGCUAAGGCGGAGGAAGGAGGGGGCCACGGCAGGUCAGUAUGCCCCGAAACCCCCGGGCCACACGCGGGCUGCAAUGGUAGGGACAAUGGGUUCCGACCCCGAAAGGGGGAGGCAAUCCCUAAACCCUACCCCAGUUAUGACUGAGGGCUGCAACCCGCCCUCACGAAUCUGGAAUCCCUAGUAACCGCGUGUCAACAUCGCGCGGUGAAUACGUCCCUGCUCCUUGCACACACUGCCCGUC